GGUUGAUCCUGCCAGUAGUCAUAUGCUUGUCUUAAAGAUUAAGCCAUGCAUGUCUAAGUAUAAAUAGUAUACAGUGAAACUGCGAAUGGCUCAUUAAAACAGUUAUAGUUUAUUUGAUAAUUGAAUUCUACAUGGAUAACCGUAGUAAUUCUAGAGCUAAUACAUGCGAUUAAACCUGACUCUUGGAAAGGUUGUAUUUAUUAGAUAUCAAACCAGUAGUCUUUCGGGAUUAUUGUGAUGAUUCAUAAUAACUGAUCGGAUCAAGGAGUUCCUUGAUAGAUCAUUCAAGUUU
rnacentral:rRNA from 1 species